UCAAAGUUCUUUCUGUCUUAUACCAAAGU
rnacentral:piRNA from 1 species